AUACGGAGGGGGUUAGCGUUGUUCGGAAUUACUGGGCGUAGAGCGCACGUAGGCGGACUGGAAAGUUGGGGGUGAAAUCCCGGGGCUCAACCCAGGAACUGCCUCAAAAACUUCCAAUCUAGAGAUCGAGAGAGGUGAGUGGAAUUCCAAGUGUAGAGGUGAAAUUCGUAGAUAUUUGGAGGAACACCAGUGGCGAAGGCGGCUCACUGGCUCGAUACUGACGCUGAGGUGCGAAAGCGUGGGGAGCAAACAGGAUUAGAAACCCUAGUAGUCC
rnacentral:rRNA from 1 species